GUUAUGUCAACUAUUCUGUUAGGUAUCUGUUAAAUAUGGGUUAAUGUUUUUUUGCACAGCAGCCAUUAUAAUGUUAAUUAAUUUCAUUAUUUACACCUGUGAUGAUCUACAGGUGUGUGGAACUUCAUUCCAAGUUCUUUGUUGCUGAAGGAAAAAAGACUCAUCAGUCAGCGUGUCCUUGAUGCUGUCAGAUGCUUCGCUGCCAGGAGAACAAAAAUGAGAUCAUCCCUGUGCAGUGCAGCAGCAGUUCCCGUCCUCCACCACAGCACAGGCCCAGGCUUUGCUCUCCAGACAUCUUGCGUGUCUCUGGUGAGUAAUCAGGUACUUGAUCAUAGAGACAGGUAAUUAUU